AGGCGCUGUGCAUUUUGUUCUUCAAAAGAGAAUGAAACACAUGGCGAUGCGUGUCUGUGAUAGAUAAAAUGAUGAUUUUUAAUAUUUUAAAAGCUAUUCAAGAUAGAAAAAAUUCAAAAAAAAGCAAAAGUCAUCGCCCGUCACAAAUGAAAGUGUACUUCGGCAAUUAGAUUGCCUACUCAAGUCUCGCAAGGAUGAGAGUAAAGUCAAAGAGUAAAGCAGCUUAGACUUUUAGCGGGGUCUUCGUUAAUUGAAAAAUGGCUUAGUAGUUUGUGAUGUAAGGAGUGAUUGGUCUAACCAAUCGUGCAUGAGUGAUACAAGUAGGAAUAUUUGUGGACAAGAUAAUAAACUAUAAGUUAUCAAAAGUCACUCGCUUAAAGCAGUAGUCUCAUGC
rnacentral:sRNA from 1 species